CUCCUACGGGAGGCAGCAGUGAGGAAUAUUGGUCAAUGGGCGCAAGCCUGAACCAGCCAUCCCGCGUGAAGGAUGAAGGCCCUAUGGGUCGUAAACUUCUUUUAUACGCCAAGAAAAUUUCGGACGUGUCCGGAACUGACGGUAGUGUAUGAAUAAGCAUCGGCUAACUCCGUGCCAGCAGCCGCGGUAAUACGGAGGAUGCAAGCGUUAUCCGGAUUCAUUGGGUUUAAAGGGUGCGUAGGCGGCUUUUUAAGUCAGUGGUGAAAUCUUGCCGCUUAACGGUAAAAUUGCCAUUGAUACUGAAAAGCUUGAGUACAUUUGAGGUAAGCGGAAUGUGUAGUGUAGCGGUGAAAUGCUUAGAUAUUACACAGAACACCAAUUGCGAAGGCAGCUUACUAAACUGUUACUGACGCUGAUGCACGAAAGCGUGGGGAGCGAACAGGAUUAGAUACCCUGGUAGUCCACGCCGUAAACGAUGAUCACUCGCUGUUAGCGAUACACAGUUAGCGGCUAAGCAAAAGCAUUAAGUGAUCCACCUGGGGAGUACGGCCGCAAGGCUGAAACUUAAAGGAAUUGACGG
rnacentral:rRNA from 1 species